rnacentral:rRNA from 1 species
UGCUGUGAAAGCCCGGGGCUUAACCCCGGGUGUGCAGUGGGUACGGGCAGGCUAGAGUGCAGUAGGGGAGACUGGAAUUCCUGGUGUAGCGGUGAAAUGCGCAGAUAUCAGGAGGAACACCGAUGGCGAAGGCAGGUCUCUGGGCUGUUACUGACGCUGAGGAGCGAAAGCAUGGGGAGCGAACAGGAUUAGAUACCCUGGUAGUCCAUGCCGUAAACGUUGGGCACUAGGUGUGGGGGACAUUCCACGUUUUCCGCGCCGUAGCUAACGCAUUAAGUGCCCCGCCUGGGGAGUACGGCCGCAAGGCUAAAACUCAAAGGAAUUGACGGGGGCCCGCACAAGCGGCGGAGCAUGCGGAUUAAUUCGAUGCAACGCGAAGAACCUUACCAAGGCUUGACAUACACCGGAUGGUUCCAGAGAUGGUUCGUCCCUUCGGGGCUGGUGUACAGGUGGUGCAUGGUUGUCGUCAGCUCGUGUCGUGAGAUGUUGGGUUAAGUCCCGCAACGAGCGCAACCCUCGUUCUAUGUUGCCAGCACGUGAUGGUGGGGACUCAUAGGAGACUGCCGGGGUCAACUCGGAGGAAGGUGGGGAUGACGUCAAAUCAUCAUGCCCCUUAUGUCUUGGGCUUCACGCAUGCUACAAUGGCCGGUACAAUGGGUUGCGAUACUGUGAGGUGGAGCUAAUCCCAAAAAGCCGGUCUCAGUUCGGAUUGGGGUCUGCAACUCGACCCCAUGAAGUCGGAGUCGCUAGUAAUCGCAGAUCAGCAACGCUGCGGUGAAUACGUUCCCGGGCCUUGUACACACCGCCCGUCAAGUCACGAAAGUCGGUAACACCCGAAGCCGAUGGCCUAACCCUUUGUGGGGGGAGU